CCUACGGGUGGCAGCAGUGAGGAAUAUUGGUCAAUGGGCGUAAGUCUGAACCAGCCAUGCCGCGUGAGGGAUGAAGGUUCUAUGGAUCGUAAACCUCUUUUAUAAGGGAAUAAAGUGUGGGACGUGUCCUGUUUUGUAUGUACCGUAUGAAUAAGGAUCGGCUAACUCCGUGCCAGCAGCCGCGGUAAUACGGAGGAUCCGAGCGUUAUCCGGAUUUAUUGGGUUUAAAGGGUGCGUAGGCGGCCUGUUAAGUCAGCGGUGAAAGUCUGUGGCUCAACCAGAGAAUUGCCGUUGAAACUGGGAGGCUUGAGAAUGUUUGAGGCAGGCGGAAUGCGUGGUGUAGCGGUGAAAUGCUUAGAUAUCACGCAGAACCCCGAUUGCGAAGGCAGCCUGCCAAGCUAUGACUGACGCUGAUGCACGAAAGCGUGGGGAGCAAACAGGAUUAGAUACCCGAGUAGUC
rnacentral:rRNA from 1 species